UAGAAUGGUACAAAUUGAAGAAAAUAGAAGGAAAAUAGGACCAAUUAUUGAGUGUAUAAUUCUAUGUGGUAAAGAAGAGUUGGCUUUGAGAGGACAUAGAGAUUUUGGUGAUAUCUUAGUAGAUGAUGAUUCAAGGCAAGGCCAUUUCCGUGGUAUUCUCAAGUACAGAGCAAAAGGAGAUGAAUUUUUGCGUAAUGUUCUUGAGGGUUCAGGGAAACGUAAUAAAUAUACGAGUCCAAUUAUACAAAAUGAAAUAAUUCAGUCAUGUAACACAAUUUUACUAAGGAAACUAGUUAAUGUGAUUAAUAAAUCUAAAUGUUUCUCUGUUCUGGCUGAUGAAACAACCGACAUAUCGACUAAAGAGCAACUCAGUAUAUGUGUUUGAUAUAUUGAUAAAAACAAUAAGUUGCAUGAGAACUUUUUACGAUUUUUUGAAAUUGAUAGCUUGACUGGUUAUGACUUGGCUAACUCAAUAUUAAAUGGCUUAAACAGAUGUGGAAUUGAUUGCAAUUAUUUAUAUGGCCAAGGCUAUGAUGGGGCCAGUAAUAUGGCUGGUCGAUUUAAAGGAGUACAGACUAUUGUGAAAUCUAAAUACCCCAACGCUAUAUAAUAUGUAC